rnacentral:lncRNA from 1 species
AUGCCCAGGGAUAUCUGUCCUGCAUCUCACGCCUGCCCCUACACGCUGACACAUGCUGCCUUUCCAACCACCUGGCACGGAUACCCUGACAGUUUACAGCACAGAUUCACCCCCUCAGCCACACACGCGUGCACACACACACACACUCCUCCACCACCCACUCCGGCCAGGACCCCAGAGCUAGAGAUGGUGCAGAGCCUGCCAGCUGCAGCCCUGCCAACCACCACUCCCCCCACCUCCUCCAGGGCUGGGUUUUUCCAGCCGGAGCCCCGCUCCCUCUACUGCAAGCUCUGGAAAUUGGUGUCUGACGCGGCUGCUUCUGCACGUUAUUUAUUUCCUCUCUUCUUCCCGCCGAGACGACCCUCCGGUCAGGAGAGCCGCAGCUGGGACACAGCAGGGUCUGCAGAGGCAGGGAGCACGGAGGGCAGGACCACUCAGGAGCCCCUGGUCCGUUCCAAGGGGGCCAUGAGCAUCAGGCCGGAGGCCCCACGGGAGGAGGGCGACGCUGGGGACAGGGGCAGGGAGGCAGAGCUUCGGGGCCGAGCCCGGCUGAGCCAGCAGCGCCGGCUCAGACAGGCCACCCAGUUCCUGCACAAGGACUCGGCUGACCUGCUGCCCCUGGACGGCCUCAAGAGGCUCGGCACCUCCAAGGACUGGCAGCCACACAGCGUGAUCCAGAGACGCCUGGUGGUGGAGGGGAGCCCGGGCCGGCCUCAGGGGGAGCCUCCCCGGGCACAGGCCCCGAUCCACGGCCAGGAGAGCAGGACGAAGACCAGCAAGCCUGAGAGGCCAGCACUUCUGGUCAACUGCAAGUGCAGGGACCAGGAGCUUCAGGUGGCAGUGGACACGGGCACCCAGUACAAUCAGAUCUCCGCUGGAUGUCUCAGCCGCCUGGGGUUAGGGAAGAGGGUCCUAAAAGCUCCAGGUGGGGACCUGCACCCGGGGCCCCCAGCCCUGGUGGAGCAGCUGGAGCUACAGCUGGGCCAGGAGACUGUGGAGUGUUCAGCUCAGGUGGUAGAUGUGGAGAGUCCUGAACUCUGCCUUGGCCUGCAGACCCUGCUUUCUCUCCAGUGCUGCAUCGACCUGGAGCAUCAUGUGCUGCGGCUGAAAGCCCCGUUCUCAGAGCUGCCCUUCCUGCCUUUGCACCAAGAGCCGGGCCAGUGACGAUGGCAGCCCCGGACAGUCCC